AUGAGGGUUCGGGUAAAAACAGGGGCCUUAGCACGUUCCUUAGGGCGGUACCUCGGGACCUGGACAGCGGGGCACAGAGCAGCGGGGGGGCGAGCGGGGAGCCAGGCUUGGCCAAGUCCCCAUGCAGCCCAGGGGCGACCCGGGGCCUUCCCCGCCGCGCCCCGCCCCCGCGACCCCCGCCGGCCUCAGGUCCCGCCCUCCCCGCUCGGGGUCCCUCCCGACCCCCCAGCAUCCCGGGCCCCUGCCCGCCCCCCGCGACGCCGCCGGCCUCAGGUCCCGCCCUCCCCGCUCGGGGUCCCUCCCGACCCCCCAGCAUCCCGGGCCCCUGCCCGCCCCCCGCGACCCCGCCGGCCUCAGGUCCCGCCCUCCCCGCUCGGGGUCCCUCCCGACCCCCCAGCAUCCCGGGCCCCUGCCCGACCCCCGCGACCCCGCCGGCCUCAGGUCCCGGCCUCCCAGCUCGGGGUCCCUCCCGACGCCCCAGGGUCCUUGGCCCACGCUCCCCUCUCCCGACCCCCCAGCAUCCCGGGCCCCUGCCCGACCCCCGCGACCCCGCCGGCCUCAGGUGUGACAGGGCCUUGGAUCUAUAGACAAGCUUCUUGUUCACCAGGAGCACCCCUGCAAUGUGCAUUUUCGUGUCAAAGCCACAUCGUUGCCUUUGUAAUGAAUCAGCACUUACACCUGUACUAGGCAAUCAUGCAGUUGGCACCCCAAAAGAAAG
rnacentral:lncRNA from 12 species